AGCCUGCUGCAGAGUGAGGGACUCACGGAAAACCCUCUACUAGGGCAGUGCACCUGUGGUUUGCAGGGUUUAGCUCCUCAGCUGUUCUCAUGCGCGGGACUGGUAUUGAGGGCCUGUAGCUUUUCCUCACUGAGGGUGCCAGCUGUUGGUGGGUCUGUGAAUCUGGGGUCUGGACGGUGGUAGCCCCCUAUGUGGGGGCUCCAAGUCCAUAUUUUCCUUCUGCACUGCCCUAGUAGAGGUUUCCCAAGAACUCUGCAUCUGCAGCAGGCUGCUGCCUGGAAACAGUGGGAGGUGGGUGUGGGAGGCAUUUCCUUCACCAAUGGUUAGGCAGCAUGUGCUUGAUGCUGUCUUCAUGAUAGUGAGUUUUCAUGAGAUCUGGUUGUAUAAUAGGGCAUGACACCUUUUUCCUCUCUCAUGCUUGCUCCUGCUCCUGGCAUAUGAGACAUCUCAUUGCCCCUUGACAUUCUGGUGUGAUUGGGAGGCUUCCUGAGUCCUCUGAGAUGCAGAAACUAGUAUGCCUCCUUACAUCCUGCAGAAUCAUUAACAAUUAAACUUCUUUUCUUUUUGAUCAUUGAGAGCAUUUUUAAUGCAAAGAAGAUCUAUUAGGUGUCUUCAAGGCCUUUUCCCCCAUGUCUUGGCUAUCAGUACUCAGCUUCUUUUCAUUCAAGUCUCUGAAUCCUCCUUGAAUUUUCCCCCUGAAAAUGGACUUGUCUUCCAUACCACAUUGCCAGGCUUUGACAAAGAUAGGUGAUAAUGCAGGAACAGGUUCAGAAGAGGGUAGCAGACUGAGUUCAGGAGAGUUUGGAGGGCUUCCAAGACAAGAAAUUGAGGGGAAAUUUGGAUCUUUGUAAAGAAUUGUUAAAUACUUGUGAUCAGAAGGCUCACAGGAAAAUAGACAGUAAAGAUCAGACUUAGAAGGUCUCAGAUGAAGAUGAGGAACUUACUGGGAAUAGGAGCCAAGGUUAGUUUUGUUUUGCUGUAGCAAAGAAUGUGGCUGCACAUUGACCCUGCCCUGGAGAUAUGUGAAACUUUGAACUUGAGGGUGAUGACUUAGUGAGUAUCUGGUGGAAUGAACUUCUGGGCAGCAAAGCUCAAGAGGUGUCCUGUCUGCAUGAAACAGCCCUUGCCCUUUUGUGUGACUGAGGAAAUGACCUCUGGAUGGGUCUUACAUUAAAUGAGUCACAACUCUUAUAUUAAAUGAGAAACAGAACUCAAAAGUCUGGAAAACUUGCAGCCUUGCCAAGUGGUCAGAAAGAAAAGCCGAUUUUCAGUGGGAAAAUUCAAGAAGGCUUCAGGAAUUUGCACGAAAAGGAGCCCGGUGCUAAUAGCCAAGACAAUAAGGAAAAGACCUUGAAGGCAUUUCAGAGACCUUUGCAGCAGCCCUUGCUGUCACAGGCCCUGGGGCCUAGGAGAGAAGCAUCGUUUCCUGGGCCAGUUCCAUGAGCCCCCUCUAUGUGCAGCCUCAGGACACUGCUGCCGGCAUCCCUGCAGCUCCAUUUCCAACUCCAGUCAUGGCUGAAAGAUGCACAGGUAGAGUUUGCAUCCCUGCUUCAGGGGUGCAAGUUCCAAGCCUUGGUGUCUUCCACAUAGUGUUAAGCCAGCGGCUGCACAGAGCACAAAACUAGAGGCUUGGGGGCCUGUGUCUAGACUCCAGAGUAUGUACGGAAAAACCUGGGUGUUCAGGCAGAAGCUUUUCCAAGAGGCAGAGCCUCAUGGCACACCUUUACCAGGGCAGUACAGAAGGAGAAAAUGGGGUUGGAGUCCCUAAAUAUGGAGACACCAUUCUCCAGACCUUAGAUUCAUAGAUGCACCAACAGCUGGCACCCUUAGUGUGGAAAAGCCACAGGCACUCAACACAGCCCAGCCCAUGAGGGCAGCUGUGGGGGAUAUAUCAUGCAAAUCCACAGGUGCAGAGUUGCCCAAGGCCUUGGGAGCCCAGCCAUCACAUGCCUGUGCUCUAGAUGUGAGAUGUAGAUUCAGAAAAGAUGAUUUGGAGCUGCAGGAUUCAAUGACUGGCCUGCUGGGUUUUUGACUUCAUGGGGUCUGUAAGUCCUUGGACUUUUCAGUAAAUGCUGGAAUGAGUUAAGUCAUUGGGGGACAGUAGAGAAGUCAUCAUUGUAUUUUGCAGUGUGACAAGGAUACAAGAUUUGGGGACCAAAGGCCAGAAUAAUAUGAUUUGGUUCUGUGUCCCUACCAAUACUCAUGUGGAAUCGUAAUGGGGAAUGUUAAAGUUGGAGCCUGGUGGAAGGUGACUUAAUCAUGGAGAAGAGUGGGGGUUGG
rnacentral:lncRNA from 10 species